GCUGUGCAGGAGAGUCCACAACAAAACGUGCUUAGGAAUCCAGCUCAUUGUAUCUCCCUCCACCCUGAGGCGGCCUGCAGGCACCGGGUUUUGCCUCGAACUCUUCACUGCGGUGGUGCACAGACCUCUACCACAAUGAUAGCACAGUUUGUAUUGACCUAUUAUUAAUUCCAGAGAUCAGCCAAUCUUUCAAUGCAUCACUUAAUACUUUGCCAAAUGUGCAAUGUUUAGAAUAUUUUUAAAGUUCAUCUGGAUAUGCUGCAGUAGUCUCUCUCUCUCUCUUGUUUUUGUUUAUGAAACCUAAAAUGCUCUGUAAUCAAUAAAUACCUUGGUGCAAAA